rnacentral:rRNA from 1 species
UACGGAGGGGGCUAGCGUUGUUCGGAAUUAUUGGGCGUAAAGCGCGUGUAGGCGGCUUUGCAAGUCGGGUGUGAAAGCCCUCAGCUCAACUGAGGAAGUGCGCCCGAAACUGCAGAGCUUGAGUACCGGAGAGGAUGGUGGAAUUCCCCAAGUAGAGGUGAAAUUCGUAGAUAUGGGGAGGAACACCGGUGGCGAAGGCGGCUCACUGGCUCGUAACUGACGCUCAGGCGCGACAGCGUGGGGAUCAAACAGG